ensembl:lncRNA
GGCGAGGUGAGCGCUGGGCCGGGACCCCCCCACGACCCCCCCACGACCCCCCCCGGUGGGGACGGACGGGUUGGGGGGGGGGGGUUUGGGGGGGGGUUGGGGGGGGUGGGGCCGUGCGGCGGUGCUGGAGGGCCCUAUAGAGUCCCUAUAGAGCCCCCGGUUGGCGUCCCAUAGAGAGCCCCCGUAGAAGCUCGUGGAGGCCCUAUAUGGGCCCUAUAGAGUCCCUAUAGAGGCCCCGAUCGGCGCCCCAUAGAGAGCCCCCAUAGAAGCUCACUGAGGCCCUAUAUGGGCCCUGUGUCCAUCCCCAUAGGCAUCGCUGAGCUCUCUGUAGGGCCCCUAUGGAACCCCGUGGAGCCCCUAUGUGGGCCCUAUAUAGAUCCUCCCCCCCCCAUAGAGCCCUAUAGGGCCCCUAUAGAGCCCCCAUGGAGCCCCUAUGUAGAGGGCCCUAUAUAAAGCCCCCCCCCUCCCCCCCAUUGAGCCCUAUAGGGCCCCUAUGGAACCCCAUGAAGCGCCUAUGUAGUGGGCCCUAUAUAGAGCCCCUCCACCCCCCAUUGAGCCCUAUAGGGCCCCUAUAGAGCCCCCAUGGAGCCCCUAUGUAGAGGGCCCUAUAUAUAGCCCCCCCCAUCCCCAUAGAGCCCUAUAGGGCCCCUAUGGAACCCCAUGAAGCCCCUAUGUAGUGGGCCCUAUAUAGAGCCCCUCCACCCCCCAUUGAGCCCUAUAGGGCCCCUAUAGAGCCCCCAUGGAGCCCCUAUGUGGGCCCUAUAUAGAUCCUCCCCCCCAUUGAGCCCCAUAGGGCCCCUAUAGAGCCCCCAUGGAGCCCCUAUGUAGAGGGCCCUAUAUACAUCCCCCCCCAUCCCCAUAGAGCCCUAUAGGGCCCCUAUGGAACCCCGUGGAGCCCCUAUGUAGAGGGCCCUAUAUAGAGCCCCCCCAUAGAACCCCCAUAGGCUUCAUAGAACCCCUUAUAGAACCCCAUACAGCCCCUGGAGGACCGUCCUACAGGACCCCCCCCCCCCCCGAGCCCCAUUGACCCCCCACAGCUGCUAUCCUGGGUGCCAAAGCCCCAUAUAGAACCUAUAGAACCCCCUACAGAGCUCCCAUUGUCCCCCCCCCAUACAACCCCUAUAGCACCGCCUAUAGAGCUCCCAUAGAAUCCCCCCUAGGCCCCAUACAAUCCCAUUGCCCCCUCCAGCUGCUCUCCGUGCUUCCGGACCCCUAUAGAACCCCAAUAGAUCCCUAUAGAACCCCCAUAGACCCCAUACGACCCCCAUAGAGUGCCGCUGCCGCUGUCCCUGUUGCCAAACCCCAUAGAAUUCCCAUAGUUCUCCACCGAACCGCAUUGCCCCAUAGACCCAUAUAGAACCCCUAUAGCGCCCCAUUGCCGCUGUCCGUGAUGCUAAUCCACCAUAGAACCCCCAUAGACCCCUAUAGAACCCCUAUAGUCCCCAAUAGAACCCCCAUAGACCCCUAUAGAACCCCUAUAGAGCCCCAUUGCCGCUGUCCGUCUUGCCGAGCCCCUAUAGACAGCCUAUAGACCCCUAUAGAACCCUACUGCCACUGUCGGUGGUGCUGAGACCCCACAGACCCCUAUAGAACCCCUAUAGCGCCCCAUUGCCGCUGUCCGUGAUGCUGAUCCACCAUAGAACCCCCAUAGAACCCUAUAGAACCCCUAUAGUCCCUCAUAGAACCCCCACAGACCCCUAUAGAGCCCCAUUGCCGCUGUCCGUGGUGCUGAUCCACCAUAGAACCCACAUAGAACCCUAUAGAACCCCUAUAGUCCCCAAUAGAACCCCCAUAGACCCCUAUAGAACCCCUAUAGAGCCCCAUUGCCGCUGCCCGCGGUGUUAAGCCCCACAGAUCCCUGUAGUACCCCUAUAGUCCCCAAUAGAACCCCCAUAGACCCCCAUAGAACCCCUAUAUCCCCCAUAGAGCCCCCAUACACCCCAUAGAACCCCUAUAGUCCCCCAUAGACCCCUAUAGAUCCCUAUAGAACCCCCACAGUCCACUUUACAGCCCCAUUGCCACUGUCCGUGGUGCUGAACCGCAUAGACCCCUAUAGUACCCCGAUAGUCCCCAUAGAACCUCCAUGGAUUCCUAUACCCCUAUAGCCCCACGUAGACCCCUAUAGAACCUAUAGCACCCCUAUAGUCCCUCACUGACCCUAAUGGACCCCUAUGGAACCCAGCGGUCCCCAUUAAAGGCCUAUAGACCCCUAUAGUACCCCAAUAGCCUGCCAUAGACCCCCAUAGACCCCUAUAGAACCCUCACAGCCCGCAUUAGAGCCCCAUAGACCCCUAUACUACCCCCGUAGUUCCCCACAGACUCCCACAGACCCCUAUAGAACCCCCACAGCCCUCAUUAGAGUCCCAUUGCCACUGUCCGUGGUGCUGAACACCAUGGACCCCUAUAGUUCCCCCAUAGAUCCCCAUAAUACCCCUAUAGUCCCCCACAGACCCCCACAGACCCCUAUAGAACCCCCACAGCCCCCAUUAGAGCCCCCAUUUGCCACUGUCCGUGGUGCUGAACCGCAUAGACCCCUAUAGUACUCCUAUAGUGCUCCAUAGACCUCUAUAGACCCCUAUAGGGCCCCACAGACCCCUAUAGAACCCCCACAGCCCCCAUUAGAGCUGCAUUGCCGCUGUCUGUGGUGCUGAACCCCAUAGACCCCCAUAGUACCCCCAUAGACCCCCAUAAUACCCCCAUAGACCCCCAUAAUACCCCUAUAGUCCCCCACAGACCCCCACAGACCCCCACAGACCCCUAUAGAACCCCGACAGUCCCCAUUAGAGCAGCAUUGCCGCUGUCCGUGGUGCUGAACCCCAUAGACCCCUAUAGUACCCACAUAGACCCCCAUAAUACCCCUAUAGUCCCCGAGAGCCCCCUAUAGAACCCCCACAGCCCCCAUUACAGCAGCAUUGCAGCUAUCCGUGGUGCUGAACCCCAUAGACCCCCAAAGUACCCCCAUAGACCCCCAUAAUACCCCUAUAGUCCCCCACAGACCCCCACAGACCCCUAUAGAACCCCGACAGCCCUCAUUAGAGCAGCAUUGCCGCUGUCCGUGGUGCUGAACCCCAUAGACCCCUAUAGUACCCCCAUAGACCCCCAUAAUACCCCUAUAGUCCCCCACAGAGCCGUAUAGAACCCCCACAUCCUCCAUUAGAGCAGCAUUGCCGCUGUCCGUGGUGCUGAACCCCAUAGACCCCUAUAGUACUCCUAUAGUGCUCCAUAGACCUCUAUAGACCCCUAUAGGGCCCCACAGACCCCUAUAGAACCCCCACAGCCCCCAUUAGAGCAGCAUUGCCGCUGUCCGUGGUGCUGAGCCCCAUAGACCACUAUAGAACCCCUAUAGUCCCCCAUAGAGUCCCCAUAGACCUCAUAGAACCCCUAUGGUCCCCCAUAGACCCCUAUAGAUCCCUAUAGAACCCCCACAGCCCACUUUACAGCCCCAUUGCCACUGUCCAUGCUGCUGAGACACAAAGACCCCUAUAGAACCCCUCUAGUCCCCCAUAGAGCCCCCAUAGACCUCAUAGAACCCCUAUGGUCCCCCAUAGACCCCUAUAGAUCCCUAUAGAACCCCCACAGCCCCCAUUAGAGCAGCAUUGCCGCUGUCCGUGGUGCUGAAUCCCCACCCGGCGGCUCUCGAGGCCCCGCCCAGGGCUUCCCCCGUCCGCGGGUUCGAAUCCCCCCUCCUCCUCCUCCCCUCCCCUCCCCCCUUUCCCCCCUCAAUCCCCCCCCACCCCCCCCCCCCCGGAUGCCCCCCCCGCGCCCCGCGGUGACGGGUAUUCUCGGGCGGAUAACACGGCCGCGCUGUUAUUGCUGGAGAAUACGCGUAGCCGAGGGGACGCCCCGAGCCGGCCUCCUCGUGCAUCCUCUCGUGCAUCCUCGUGCAUCCCCGUGCACGGGGCCGUGCAUCCUCGUGAGCCCGCGGGCGUCCCCGUGAAGCUUUGGGCGUCCUCGGGUGUCCCUCUGCAGCCGUCCCCGUGUGUGCUCUGCGCCCUCGUGCAACCUCUUGCACCCUCGUGCACCCACCCCCGUGCACGCCCUUGUAUCCCCGUGCAGCCUCGUGCCUCCCCGUGCCACGCCGUGCCUCGCCAUGCAUCCUCGUGCAUCCUGGUGCAAUGGCACGCGGCCUCGUGCAACCGUGUGCACCGGGCUGGGCGACUUCGGCUGCCCACACGUGUCCCCGUGUGUCCUCUGCACACUUGUGCAUCCCCGUGCCUCCCCGUGCAACCUCGUGCAACUCUGAGCAUCCUUGCACAUCCCCGUGCAUCCUCGUGCCGCCUCAUGCAUCCAUCCUCGUGCAUCCCCGUGCAUCCAAUCUUGUGCACCCCCUUGCAUCCUUGUGCCGCCCUCUGCACCCUCGUGCGUCCGUCCGCGUGCACCGUUGUGCACCAAGUGCAUCCUCCACGUGCAUCCCCACGCACCCUCGUGCAUCCUCGUGUAACCCCGGGCACCCUCGUGCACCAUUUUGCACCCUGACCAUGAGCCACCAUGCGUCACUGUGCAUCCAUCCUCAUGCAUCGUGCAAUGCUGUGCACGCGCGUGCACCCCCGUGCAUCCUUGUGCAACCCCGUGCAUCCUUGUGUGAUGCUGUGCAACACUGUGCAACCUCGUGCAUGCACCCUCAUGCAACACUGUGCAUCCUCGUGCAACCCCGUGCUCCCUCGUGCAACACCGUGCAUCCUCGUGCGAUGCUGUGCAACGCUGUGCAUCCUCGUGCAUUCUCGUGCAACACUGUGCAACACUGUGCACCCUCGUGCAUGCAUCCUCGUGCAACACCGUGCAUCCUCGUGCGAUGCUGUGCAACCCGGUGCAUCCUCGUGCAACCCCGUGCAUCCUCGUGCAACACUGUGCAACACUGUGCAACCUCGUGCAUGCACCCUCAUGCAACACCGUGCAUCCUUGUGCAACCCCGUGCAUCCUCGUGCGACACCGUGCAUCCUCGUGCGACGCUGUGCAACACUGUGCACCCUCGUGCAUCCCGUGCAUGCAUCCUCGUGCACCGCCGUGCAUCCUCGUGCACCCCUCUUGCAUCCCGCAGCCCCCCCGUGCAUCCAUCCCUGUGAAUCCCCGUGCAACGCUGCACAUCCCUCAUGCCCCCCAACCCCAUGCAUUCUUAUGCUCUCCGGUGCAUCCUCGUGUGCUCACACCCGUGCAUUGUCGUGCAACCCGGCGCCUCCUCGUGCACCCUCGUGCAUCCUCGUGCAAGCCCUGCAGCCUCAUGCAUCCCUGUGCAUCAUCCAUCCCUGCGCCUCCUGGUGCACAUCGUGCGUCCCGUCUCGUCUGCGCAUGCGCGGAGCCGCGCCCAACUCGCCCCGUUGCCCGGCAACAGCCCGCCGUCGCCAAGCAACGCGUUGCCAGGCAGCGGGGAGUGACUGACAGCUCCGGGCACGCCCCCCCCUGCCGGGUACCGCCUCCCUAUUGGCUGAGCGGAGCGGGAAGGGGCGGGGCUUUGAAGCGCGUCGGGAGACGGGGCGGUGCUGGAUUGGCGGCUGGAGCGGCCAAUGAAAAGCGAGGAGGGGGACGGCGCGCGGGACGGGCAUCCCGCCCUCCUUUUCGUGCCCUCCGAUUGGCUGAGACGCGCGCGGUGGGCGGGAGCAGCGCUGAGGGAAGCCGCUCCCCGAUUGGCUGAGGGGCUCCGAGCUCCCAUUGGCCGCUCCCCGCGGAACGGAGGCAGAGAUUGGCCACGGCCGAAUGGCGGCAGCGCUGGAACGGGCGCUGGGCCCGGCUGGGCCGGAAGCGGACGCGUCCGUGCCGGAGGCGCCGCUGUUGGUGCUCGGCCCGGCGGGCUCGGGCCGCACGGCGCUGCUGCUGCGGGCGGCGUUGGCAGGAGGAGGGGACGGGCCCCGCGCUCUCUUCUUAGCGCCCAGCGCUCCCUCCCGACUCCCAGAGGGCGGCGGCGGUGACCCGAGGGCGCUGCAGCGCCUGGAGCUCCGCUACCCCCCCACCCUGGCAGCCCUGGCCCAGGAGUUGGGGGCAAUGGCGGCCCGAGCCCGGCCCCCCGGCUUGCUGCUGCUGGACGGGCUGGAGCACUACAUCCAGGGGGGGCCCAGCGCCCCCGCCCGCCUGGCCGCCCUGCUGCUGGAGGCCUCCCGCGCCCCCCGACCCCCGGCCCGGCUCCUGGCUGCCCUCCGUGUGCCCCCCCCCGGGCCCCGUGUGCUGCCCGUCCUGCGCCGUUACUUCCCGGCUGAGUGCCGUCUGAGACCCCUCCCCGGGGUCCCACUGCGGGUGAACGUCCGCCUCGUCCUGCCCGGAUCGGUGCCGCGGGGAUGGAGGCUGCGCUUCGAGCCCCACGGGGGGCUGAACGUCACCCCCGGGCCUGGGGACGGCGAUGGGGACGAGGAUGAGGACGGAGAUGGCAGUGGGGAUGAAGGCUGAGGGUGAGUCGGGUGGUGAUGUGCAGCCCUCGGGUGUUGUGGUGUCACUGAGCCUGGCUGGUGUGGAGCCCAGGUGAUGUGGAGCCCAGGUGACACGGUGACAUGGAGCUGCCCGGUGACAUGGAGCCCAGGUGACACGGUGACAUGGAGCCCAGGUGAUGUGGAGCCCAUGUGACACAGUGACAUGGAGCUGCCAGGUGACAUGGAGCCCAGGUGACACGGUGACAUGGAGCCCAGGUGAUGUGCAGCCCGGGUGACACAGUGACAUGGAGCCCGGGUGAUGUGGAGUCCAGGUGACACGGAACCGAGGUGACAUGGGGUCUGCAUGGCACAGUGACACGGAGCCUGGGUGACACUGUGGCGUGGGACCCAGGUGACAGGGAACCAAGGUGACACAGAACCUGAGUGACACAGACCCAAAUGGCACGGAACCCAGGUGACACAGAACCCAGGUGACAUGGAGCCCUGGUGACAUGGGACCGGGUGACACAAUGCCUAUGUGUCAUGGAACCCACGCGACAUGGAACCCAGGUGACACGGAACCCGAGUGCUAUGGAACCCAGGGGACGCAAUGCCUGUGUGACACAGAACCCGGGUGACAUGGAAUGCAGGUGACAGAGUCUGUGCGGCACGACACGGAGCCUGGGUGACACUGUGACACGGAACACAGGUGACACGGAACACAGGUGACAUGGAACCCAGAUGGCACAGUGCCUAUAUGACAUGGAACCCAGGUGACACGGAACCCAGAUGUCACAGAACCCAGGUGACACAGUGCCUAUAUGACACAGAACCCAGGUGACACAGAACCCAGGUGACACGGAACCCACGUCACAGUGCCUAUACGACACGGAACCAAGGUGACAUGGGACCCAGAUGUCACAGUGCCUAUACGACACGGAACCGAGGUGCCACGAGCCCCCGUGCCGCACUGCUGGUGUCCGGAGGUGUCCGGAGGUGUCCGGAGGUGCCAGGAGGCGACACGAGCGGACAGCCCACGUUAUCAGUGCCCUCACAGCCACCCCCCUCCCCCCCCCCGACACCCACAGCGUGGGGCUGAGCGCGUGCUGUGCCCCCCCCCGGCCCUGGGGGCUCUGAUAAGGCCUUAUCACCGCCCCCACCCCACCCCACCCCCCCCCGAGGCGCUGCGUGCGCUCACGAGUGCUUUAUUGUAUAAAACAGUGGCAAACCAACACGAGUGGCCCCAAUUCGGCGUAUGGACAUUGGGGGGGGGGGGGGGGGUGGGACGGGACCACCCCCACAACCCCGCUGUGUCCCCACGUGACGUCACUGCGACGUGUCCCCUCCGUCCCCGUGUCGUGGUGAGUCCACGUGACGUCACUAUGACGCGUCACCUCCAUCCUCGUGUCGUGGUGAGUCCACGUGACGUCACUAUGACGCGUUACCUCCAUACUCGUGUCGUGGUGAGUCCAUGUGAUGUCACUAUGAGUCCAUGUGACAUCACUACAGUGUGUCAUCUCCAUCCUCGUGUCAUGGUGAGUCCAUGUGACGUCACUACGACGUGUCCCCUCCAUCAAUGUGUCACAGUGUGACAUACCCUCGUGUCGUGGUGAGUCCACGUGACAUCACUAUGACGCGUCACCUCCAUCCUCGUGUCGUGGUGAGUCUCCUCCAUCCAUGUGUCCACAGUGUGACACGUCCUCGUGUCAUGGUGAGUCCACGUGAUGUCACUGUGUGUCCAUGUGACAUCACUGUGACUUCUCCCCUCCAUCCUUGUGUCGUGGUGAGUCCAUGUGACAUCACUAUGACGUGUCGCCUCCAUCCAUGUGUCACGGUGUGACACAUCCUCGUGUCAUUGUGAGUCCACGUGACAUCACUGUGACGUGUCCCCUCCGUCCCCGUGUCGUGGUGAGUCCACGUGACGUCACUAUGACGCGUCACCUCCAUCCUCGUGUCGUGGUGAGUCCCCUCCGUCCAUGUGUCACAGUGUGACACGUCCUCGAGUGUUGUGAUGAGUCCACGUGACAUCACUAUGACACGUCACCUCCAUCCAUGUGUCACAGUGUGACACGUCCUCGUGUCAUGGUGAGUCCACGUGAUGUCACUAUGAGUCCACGUGACAUCACUACAGUGUGUCACCUUCAUCCUCGUGUCGUGGUGUGACACGUCCUCGUGUCAUGGUGAGUCCACGUGACAUCACUACGAUGUGUCCCCCUCAUCCUCGUGUCAUGGUGAGUCCACGUGAUGUCACUGUGAGUCCAUGUGACAUCACUACAGUGUGUCCCCUCCAUCCUUGUGUCGUGGUGAGUCCACGUGACGUCACUAUGACGCGUCACCUCCAUCCUCGUGUCGUGGUGAGUCCCCUCCGUCCAUGUGUCACAGUGUGACAUGUCCUCGUGUCAUGGUGAGUCCACGUGACGUCACUACAGUGUGUCCCCUCCAUCCAUGUGUCAGUGUGACACGUCCUCGUGUCAUGGUGAGUCCACGUGAUGUCACCAUGAGUCCACGUGACAUCACUAUGACGUGUCCCCUCCAUCCUCGUCUCAUGGUGAGCCCACGUGACAUCACUAUGACGUGUCCCCUCCAUCCUCGUGUCGUGGUGAGUCCCCUCCGUCCAUAGUGUCACAGUGUGACACGUCCUCGUGUCAUGGUGAGUCCACGUGAUGUCACUGUGAGUCCAUGUGACAUCACUGUGACUUCUCCCCUCCAUCCUUGUGUCGUGGUGAGUCCAUGUGACAUCACUGUGACGUGUCCCCUCCGUCCCCGUGUCGUGGUGAGUCCACGUGACGUCACUAUGACGCGUCACCUCCAUCCUCGUGUCGUGGUGAGUCCCCUCCAUCCAUGUGUCACAGUGUGACACGUCCUCGUGUUGUGGUGAGUCCACGUGAUGUCACUAUGAGUCCACGUGACAUCACUACAGUGUGUCACCUCCGUCCUCAUGUCAUGGUGAGUCCACGUGACAUCACUGUGACGUGUCCCCUCCAUCCUCAUGUCAUGGUGAGCCCAUGUGACGUCACUAUGACGCGUCCCCUCCAUCCUUGUGUCAUGGUGAGUCCACGUGAUGUCACUAUGAGUCCAUGUGACAUCACUAGUGUGUCACCUCCGUCCCCGUGUCGUGGUGAGCCCACGUGACGUCACUAUGACGUGUCCCCUCCAUCCUCGUCUCAUGGUGAGCCCACAUGACAUCACUAUGAUGUGUCCCAUCUGUACUCAUGUCAUGGUGAGCCCACGUGACCUCACUAUGACGUGUCCUCUCCAUCCUCGUGUCAUGGUGAGCCCAUGUGACGUCACUAUGACGUGUCCUCUCCAUCCUUGUGUCAUGGUGAGUCCAUGUGACAUCACUAUGAUGUGUCCCCCUCCAUCAAUGUGUCACAGUGUGACACGUCCUCGUGUCAUGGUAAGUCCAUGUGAUGUCACUAUGAGUCCAUGUGACAUCACUACAGUGUGUCACCUCCAUCCUCGUGUCAUGGUGAGCCCACAUGACAUCACUAUGACGCGUCCCCUCCAUCCUCGUGUCAUGGUGAGCCCACGUGACGUCACUAUGACACGUCCCCUCCAUCCUCGUGCCGUGGUGUGACACGUCCCCGUGUCGUGGUGAGCCCACGUGACCUCACGUCGCCGUGUCCCCUCCAUUCGGUGUCACCCCAUCCCGGGGGGUGUCCCCAACCCCCCCCUCCGCCCCCCUCUCCCCCCCCCCCCAUCCAUUAAGAGCACAGCACGUAGGGGGGGGGCAUUGGGGGGGGCCCCAACGCCAGGAGGGUCCCGGGGGGGUUCCCAUUGCACGGAAGCUCCCGUGGGGGUCUCCUGUCGUGGGGGGUUUCUUUGGGGGGUCCCCUCCUCGGGGGGGGGGGACCCUUUGUGGGGAGGGGCCAGGUUGGCGUAGGGGCCGCCGGGGGGGGUCGUGGGGGGGGGGCGAUUUGGGGGUGCCCCCUGGGGCAGAGCAGGGCCGAGCCGGGGUCAAACAGCGUGUACUCAAAGCUGGAGGCGGGCGAGGGGCCGCU